UAGGGAAUCUUGCACAAUGGGCGAAAGCCUGAUGCAGCGACGCCGCGUGGGGGAUGAAGGCCUUCGGGUUGUAAACCCCUUUCAGGAGGGACGAAAAUGACGGUACCUACAGAAGAAGCUCCGGCCAACUACGUGCCCGCAGCCGCGGUAACACGUAGGGAGCGAGCGUUGUCAGGAUUUAUUGGGCGUAAAGAGCUCGUAGGCGGUUUAGGAAGACGGGUGUUAAAACUCUGGGCUCAACCCGGAGAG
rnacentral:rRNA from 1 species